AUUGAACGCUGGCGGCAGGCUUAACACAUGCAAGUCGAGCGAGCGGCGGACGGGUGAGUUAUGUCUGGGAAACCGCCUGAUGGAGGGGGAUAAUUACUGGCAACGGUAGCUAAUACCGACUACCAUUAGGUGUGGCCAGUAGGGAGUAGCUUGUAGGGGGGGUAAUGGCUCACCUAGGCGACGAUCCCUAGCUGGACUGAGAGGAUGACCAGCCACACGGGAACUAGGACAAUGUCCAGACUCCUAAGGGAGGCAGCAGUGGGGAAUAUUGGACAAGGGGCGGAAGCCUGAUGCAGCCAUGCCGGGUGUAUGAAGAAGGCCUUCGGGUUGUAAAGUACGUUCAGCGAGGAGGCGGUACUCGCAGAAGAAGCACCGGCUAACUCCGUGCCAGCAGCCGCGGUAAUAC
rnacentral:rRNA from 1 species